UACGUAGGUGGCAAGCGUUGUCCGGAUUUAUUGGGUUUAAAGGGUGCGUAGGCGGCCCUGUAAGUCAGUGCUGAAAUAUCCCAGCUUAACUGGGAGGGUGGCAUUGAUACUGCGGGGCUAGAGUACAGAUGAGGUAGGCGGAAUUGACGGUGUAGCGGUGAAAUGCGCAGAUAUCAGGAGGAACACCAAUGGCGAAGGCAGCACUCUGGGCCGUAACUGACGCUGAGGAGCGAAAGUGUGGGGAGCGAACAGG
rnacentral:rRNA from 1 species